rnacentral:rRNA from 1 species
UACGUAGGGAGCAAGCGUUGUUCGGAUUUACUGGGCGUAAAGGGCGCGUAGGCGGCGCGACAAGUCACUUGUGAAAUCUCCGGGCUUAACUCGGAACGGUCAAGUGAAACUGUCAUGCUAGAGUGCAGAAGGGGCAAUCGGAAUUCUUGGUGUAGCGGUGAAAUGCGUAGAUAUCAAGAGGAACACCUGAGGUGAAGACGGGUUGCUGGGCUGACACUGACGCUCAUGCACGAAAGCGUGGGGAGCAAACAGG